GCUUAACACAUGCAAGUCGAGCGGAAACGAGAAUAGCUUGCUAUUCGGCGUCGAGCGGCGGACGGGUGAGUAAUGCUUGGGAAUAUGCCUUUGAGUGGGGGACAACAGUUGGAAACGACUGCUAAUACCGCAUAACGUCUACGGACCAAAGGGGGGGAUGCUUCGGCACCUCUCGCUCAUAGAUUAGCCCAAGUGAGAUUAGCUAGUUGGUACGGUAAUGGCGUACCAAGGCGACGAUCUCUAGCUGGUUUGAGAGGAUGAUCAGCCACACUGGGACUGAGACACGGCCCAGACUCCUACGGGAGGCAGCAGUGGGGAAUAUUGCACAAUGGGGGAAACCCUGAUGCAGCCAUGCCGCGUGUGUGAAGAAGGCCUUCGGGUUGUAAAGCACUUUCAGUUGUGAGGAAAGGUGUAAGUUUAAUAAACUUGCACUGUGACGUUAGCAACAGAAGAAGCACCGGCUAACUCCGUGCCAGCAGCCGCGGUAAUACGGAGGGUGCGAGCGUUAAUCGGAAUUACUGGGCGUAAAGCGUGCGUAGGCGGUUAAUUAAGUCAGAUGUGAAAUCCCGGAGCUCAACUUCGGAACUGCAUUUGAAACUGGUUAACUAGAAUACUGUAGAGGGUGGUGGAAUUUCCAGUGUAGCGGUGAAAUGCGUAGAGAUUGGAAGGAACAUCAGUGGCGAAGGUGGCCACCUGGACAGAUAUUGACGCUGAGGCACGAAAGCGUGGGGAGCGAACAGGAUUAGAUACCCUGGUAGUCCACGCCGUAAACGAUGUCAACUAGCCGUUUGUGGGUUUAACCCGUGAGUGGCGUAGCUAACGCGCUAAGUUGACCGCCUGGGGAGUACGGCCGCAAGGUUAAAACUCAAAUGAAUUGACGGGGGCCCGCACAA
rnacentral:rRNA from 1 species